rnacentral:rRNA from 1 species
UACGGAGGGGGCUAGCGUUGUUCGGAAUUACUGGGCGUAAAGCGCACGUAGGCGGCUUUGUAAGUUAGAGGUGAAAGCCCGGGGCUCAACCCCGGAAUAGCCUUUAAGACUGCAUCGCUUGAACACGGGAGAGGUGAGUGGAAUUCCGAGUGUAGAGGUGAAAUUCGUAGAUACUCGGAAGAACACCAGUGGCGAAGGCGGCUCACUGGACCGUUGUUGACGCUGAGGUGCGAAAGCGUGGGGAGCAAACAGG